CAGCCACAUCAUGUUGAAACACCAGUUAUGAUAUGAUCAUUGAAGUUAAGCAAAGUUGAACCUUGUAAGUACCUAGAUGGGUGACCACUUGGGAAUACCAGGUGCUGCAA